AACGAACGCUGGCGGCAUGCCUAACACAUGCAAGUCGAACGAAGGCUUCGGCCUUAGUGGCGCACGGGUGAGUAACGCGUGGGAAACUGCCUAUUGGUGGGGAAUAACGACGGGAAACUGUCGCUAAUACCGCAUAAGCCCUUCGGGGAAAAGAUUGAUCGCCGAUAGAUGUGCCCGCGUCCGAUUAGCUAGUUGGUGAGGUAAUGGCUCACCAAGGCGACGAUCGGUAGCUGGGCUGAGAGGAUGAUCAGCCACACUGGGACUGAGACACGGCACGGACUCCAGCGGGAGGCAGGAGUGGGGAAUAUUGGACAAUGGGCGAAAGCCUGAUCCAGCAAUGCCGCGUGAGUGAUGAAGGCCUUAGGGUUGUAAAGCUCUUUCGGGUGGGACGAUGAUGACGGUACCACCAGAAGAAGCCCCGGCUACCUUCGUGCCAGCCGCCGCCGUAA
rnacentral:rRNA from 1 species